ACGAGAAAAGGCCCUUGAUUGCCAAGAAGAUGCAAAGAGCUGCGUUUGUGAUUGGGACGUUUGGAUUGAUGGGAAUAAUGGGCAUGCUUUUGCCUUCAACGAUCUCCUGGUGCUUCACUGUCUCUGCCUUCCUUGUUUGGAUGUUGAUGUUUGCCGUUGCAAGUUUGAUUAAUAUUUAGUAUCAGAGCUAAAAUCUCCGGUGGAUGAAUCACUAAGGCCAGGGCCUGAAAGAAGGAGUACGAAAAUAAUGCUUAUGGAAUGAAGAUGAGAAGUGGGAAGCAGUCUGGUCGUGCUCACAACAAAGAAAGGGAAUCUGACGAAAGGAACAAUGAAAUACCGAAGAAGAACGCUCGCACUUACUUGGAAGUUGGAGAAUUCAGAGGAAAAUCCAUGAGUUGGUACAAGAGUAGUUCAGCUGCACAGAGUGACAAUGCGCGAGUAAACUUGAGGUUGGAUUAUGCGUAACAACUGCUUGUUGCAUUAUAGUUAAUGAACGAAAAUCACAUUAAUAAACAAGAGGCUUGAAGGCGUUGCUUGAGACCAAACAAUUCUCAAAUAAUGUGUUGUAAAAUUUAUGACUUGAUACUUAUGCUGCUUAAUAUUAAGUGGGUCUCAAUUAUUUGUUUACAGCCA